UUACUUCCGGUGCCAGCGAGCGGACGUCUGUGGGAGGGACAUCCGGUAUGACACAGCUCCUAUUGGGAGACCAUUUUGAUUAACAGCUACCUUUCCGGUUGGACUUGGCAGACAGUUCUGCUGCUUGAAAGGCAUAUGCACGCGACAGAGCGAAUUAUAGAAAAAGCUCUCCUAUCCGGUGUUCAGGUAACCGGCACACUCAAGUAACUAGCACAAUUCCGAAAUUCACGGAAAACUAAUGAAAUAAUAAGAAACAACGAAGAAUUCCGAAAUACGUGUAUUCGUUCCUGCGUGUGCCUUCCGCUCGUCCUGCUAUUGUUUACGUCGCGAUCUCUUGUGUUGCAUCGAAUAUCUAUCUUUAUUCGACAUCACUUCAUUGUUCUCUCAACAUGGAGACGUCAAACAAAAGAAAGAGAGUAGUACUGAGUAUCAAGGAGAAGAUAGAAAUAUGUGAUCGUCUGGAGAAGGGGGACAGCCGCACCACUAUUAUGAAGGAAUAUAAUAUUGGAUCUUCUACUAUCUAUGAUAUCAAGAGUAAGGCCCAGAAGUUGAGAGAUUUUAUGAAGAAGUCUGAAAGUACUCUUGCUAUAGAGUCACGACAUACACUUCAACAGGCUCGCCUAAAACAUUUAGAUAAAGUCCUGUAUGAGUGGUUUUGCAUCCAACGUUCGGAGGGCGCCCGCAUCACUGGGCCUCUUCUACAGGAGAAAGCCAAAGAGUUCACUGAGAAGAUGAAUUUAAAAAGCGAUUGCAAGUUUUCUGAUGGCUGGCUGGCGCGAUUCAAAAUUCGUCACGGAAUACGACGGUUCGAUUUGUCAGAUCAUCGAAAAUCAGCCAAUCAGCCAUCAGCUGAAGAGUUUAAAGAGAAAUUUGCCGAGCUUGUUGAUGAACUGGUGUUAACCCCAGAGCAGAUUUACAACGCCAGUGAAACUGGGCUGCUUUAUCGAUGUUUACCUGCAAGUACCUUAGUAUGUAAAGGCAAAGUGGCAAAGCUGAAUAAGGAUCGCCUUACUGUUUUAAUGUGCGCUAAUAUGGCUGGUACGCAUAAGCUUAAGUUAUGUGUUAUCGGAAAAAAUCAGACUCCACCUUGUUUCGAGAACCUUUCAUUUAUACCUGUUGACUAUCGUGCACAGUCAAAUGCCUUGAUGACCAGUGAAAUCUUUUUGGAUUGGUUCCGGCAUGCCUUUGUGCCUGCCGUUAAAGAACAUUUACUCAUUAAGGGCCUGCCUGAACAUAGUAAAGUUGUGCUUCUGUUGGAUAAUUACAAAUCUAACCCUCCUGCACAAGAACUUGUUGUGGAUAAUGUAUAUGUGCUGUUUGUACCCCAUAAUGUGACAGGUCUUAUCCAACCAAUGGGUGAAGGUUUCAUUCAGAACUUCAAAAUGCAUUAUCGUCGUAACUUAAUGUGCAAACUCUUGGCAUACGAAGGCUCAGUUGCAGACUUUCAGGAGAACUUUAAUGUGAAGAAUGCAGUAUUCAUGGCAUCUUUGGCAUGGGAUGAUGUUCAGCAAGAGACACUAGAGCGAUGUUGGCGUAACCUAUAUCGUGUGGCUGUGUUUCUCCCUAAAAUGGAAGAGAAUGAGUUUGAUGGCACUGAGAUACUUAAUAAUGGAUGCUCACUCUCCAAAGAAAUAAUUAACCUGGUUGUUGAAUCAGGGAAAGAAAUUAAAGUGAGGAAGAAAGUAAUUGAUGAAUGGCUACAAGUCGACAAAGAUGUUCCUGUCACACUGACAAUUAAUGAUGAAGAUAUCAUUGAAUUUGUGCUACGAAAUCAAGAUGUAAAGGAGGAUUUGGAGAGCGAUGAGGAGGAAGAACCAAAACGUAAGAUUUCCUGGUCAGAAGCAGCUAAAGGCUUGAGCACGUUUAUUUCCUUUGCAGAGCAGCCAACCUGUGUGACUGCUGAUCAAGUUAUGAGCCUUCACGUAAUCGAAAAUGAGUUCCUGAAUCAAAGAUGCAAAGCACGGAAAUGUGUGACAGCCAGUCCGUCUCCUGAUCAUUCAAAGUCUCACGUAUUCUAAAUUAGGUGAGUUAUAUAUGAGAUGCCAAUCCUGAAAGGGGUUGGGGGCAGGCAUUAUGUAUUUGUUUUCAAGAUGGUUAUCCUGCAGAGAAACAUUGCUCGUCUUAUUUUUAAAACGAUGGACUAUGUUCAUAAAGUCAGGGGAUAUUCAGAGACACUAGUUGAUUAACUGCCUAUCUUUUGGUUGUGAAAAUAUACUCUGAACCCCAGAGAUGUGACCAAAUAUCCUUUCAGCCAGGUUUGUUUUGGUGAAUUUGUAAUUCAGAGGUCAUCAUCUCUUACACAGUUUGGACUUUCAAUGCCUUUACAGAUUGAGACAUUGAGUAGUAUUUUACCUAGUUCUGAAAAUGACAAUGUUGUACUAAAAUUCUUGGCUCAGUGGGACAUCAGUGUUUUGUAUAUUUUUGAAUGAAAUUGAUGCUGCUAUUUUUGUAAUUUGAUUUUACAAUUUUGUAUAAAUUUUUAAAGUUUAGCAAAUUUUAUUCAAUAAUUGCAUUUUUGUAUGCAUUUUAAAUGAUGAAAUACUUUUGUUUGCAAAACAACUUUAUCAAUACAAUUGUUCCAAAUAACAUUAUUGAUGGAGACAAAUUUCAAUUGGUUGUUUUGUUCAGGGCACAAAUCAGUUAUGGUUUAGACUAUUUCUAAAUAGGACUGUGAUAAGAAUGACUUAAUUUUGUAAUGAAGGAACAAGGUCACCUAUUGUCCAUUUGACAGAGUAGUGGAUUAAACUUAAAAGGUCUGUUAUUUAUCACACAAUUCGGAUAAUGAUUUUUUUCUGUAAGAAAUGUAUGCUUGCCAGAAAUGACAGUUUUCCUUCCAGUUAGCAUGCUGUAUGCACAGCAUUAAAUAACUAUUGGCUGUGUGUGCUGGUGCAUUGUGCAGUACUAAAUACACCAUCACUGUGAAGACACUGUUAGGUGUAGCCAUUGAUUUUGAGGAACUUGACAUAUUCCGUGUGGUUUUCUAUUUUGAGAUGUAGAAGUACAUCUGCAGUACAUGAAAAAAUAAAGUUAUGUGUCUAUAUAGGCAGCAAAGAAAAAGUUAAAAAUAAAAACCAUUUCAAAGAGUGUUGGAAUAACUUAGGGAAGAAAUUUAAUGGCUGCUGAAACUCGUCCAAAAUCAAGCUGCAUCUAAAAAACAAAUAAAAAUAAAAAACCAUACAUAUAACUUAGUAAUAUGAACACAAAUACAUAUAUAAACUUACCGCAAAAAGUAAUCGUUUGGUCGAUUAUUUCUUUGUUGUGACAAUGCUUGACAAUAAAUCUUAUACCAUUGGAAAGCUUGUUUAUUUCCCUUUUAACUGGUGCCACAUUUGUAAGGAAAAUGCAUCUGACAGGGUGAGAAAAUGGUUUUCUUGUGGUGUUGUGUUCUUGGGACGACCCCUUCACGGCCUGGUACUAGGGUUCACUUCAAAUAAUGCAGCAACCUGCUUGUGUGAAACACCGGCUUGAAGCUGCCCGAUGACACGAGCCCUAUCCAGAUCAGUCAAACGUGGCAUGCUUGGAGCAGACUCCAACUGACCAGGCAGUGGAUUGUCAGCACCUGGGGUAGCAGAAGCUCGAAAUAUGAGUCAAUAGCAGAAUUAUCUGUAUGGCACUGGCAGAGAAGAUCUGGCAAGGUUCUACUGGGGCACAACCCACAUACACAACUCUGCUGCUUGGCCCACAAAUGCAUUUUCUUUACAAACGUGGCAUAAUUUAAAAGGGAAAGAAACAGGCUUUCCAACGGCAAGAAGCAAAAGCAGUCACAACAAAGAAAGAAUCGACCAAACGCAAAUUUCCUUACUUUUUUUGCUGUUUUUUUAAUGUGUGUGUGUGAAUAUAUGUAUAUAAACACACAGCAAUCGCUUAAACAGCAUUUGACAUGACAUAAAUAAACCAGGCAUUAAUGUUUCACAAGAAGGUUUAAUAAUACAAUAAAUAGCACAGAGAUUUUGUAAACCUAUUAUAAUGAAUGCAAAUAGGAACUACCCCCCCUCUGCUCUCACUGUAAUUUGUGUACGAGCUGGAAUUGGCUUCAGGAAACAGUAUGUUUUGUAAAGCAUUGUUGUAAAUUCUGUGUGGGUAAACUUUGAUUGUACAUUCAAAUAGACAUGUUUACCCUGGACUUUGUGCUGCUAUUACAGAGGAUGACAGCCAUGGGGAAGUUUGCUUCAGAGGUCCUGGAGACAGCUCCCUUGCUCAAUAAGGGCCUUGGUAAACUGCCUGAACACACGGUCCAUGUAGGUGCUCUGACGGGGCCACAGUCCUUCAAGGAAGCCAAUGUGGCCCCCGUGAGAGGUGACCAGUAGUGCUAGAUUUGGGUUUUGCUUCACUCUCUCCACAGGAAUGGCUAAGGAUCAGAAGGAAGUGAAUGGUCACAUGGGGGCAGGGACAUGACAUGGAACUGUACAGCAUCAAUAAAAGAAUUUAUUAGCCGCAUGGAGGUCUCUGGAUUUAGCCGAGGAGUUUCACCCAUCAUGAGCUUACCAUGACCAGGGGAGAAAACGUCAUCAGCUGCAUUCAAGCACAGCAUGGGGAUCUGCACUGAUUUUAGGCGAUGAACAGGGCUGGCAUCUCGGUAAUAGUCAUUAUUGGUCGCGUAGUCGAAGAUGACGGAUGUGAACCUCUCGUCAAACUCUCGGAUGGUUCUUGCCUACA